UGAACAGGUGAAAAUAAAUGGCUGAAACUCUCAAAAUUGUUUAUAUUGUGAUCCUUUUGGGUUUCCUAUGUCUUGUUGUUGUUGACGGCAUAUCAGUUUUGGUGCGAUGUUAAAGUACUAGCGAUUGUUAUACAACAUUUAUGUUUGCUCCUGAAAGGUUAUACAAGUGCGUUAAAGGAUAUUGUUAUGAGGUGCGUGAAAGGUUAUUGUAAACACCUCAAAGUUGUUAAGAUAAGAUGAAAGACUUUUAUUUUCGACGAUGCAUAAUUUUGCUCAAAGAGGGAUUGCUCCCUCCUCCUCCCCUCAAUGUAUUAAUUUUUGAGGAGGGUAUGCAACUUCUUAUCUUAUCUUAUAUUACAAGAGGUAAAGACCUAUUAAUCAUACUUUUAAAUUGGAAACUAAUUGCCUAGUUUAUCAAUCGGGACGCAAACUUAUUGCUUCUCUAGGUCAUAGUGCUACAUUUAUUUUACACACUUAUGGUCUGUAUGUAUUAGACUUAUUUCGAGGUUAUGUAAAAUAAUUUAUGCAAAUAAAUAAAGUUUUAUGUAUUAUUCAUAAAUUUGUAAAGAUGUUGUCCUUAGCUUGGUUGAAAGCUAAAAAAGCUACUUUUGUGUUUGGUACUCAGCAGUGGUGGUCUUGCCCUCUUAUGUGUUUGGGUAUAGGCUGAUGUAGCUCUGUUGGGUUGUUUGUUUUGUUGUAACUCUUGGUUCCUGUUUGUAGUCUCUAUGGUACACCUGUUGAGGCAAAAUCCCUAAUUAAUUUUAAAGAUAAUAAACCAAUAUGAUUAAAGAA